rfam:Eutrema salsugineum unplaced genomic scaffold scaffold_1, whole genome shotgun sequence.
GAUGCGAUGAUGAGAUAAAAACACGAAGAGUGUAAGAAGAGCAGUGGACAAUAAACAAUUUCGUUUGUUUAUUGCCGUGAGCUUUCCUAAUUUAACGACUUCUCCUUCCACUGAGCAUU